rnacentral:rRNA from 1 species
AUUGAACGCUGGCGGCAGGCCUAACACAUGCAAGUCGAGCGAGCGGCGGACGGGUGAGUAAUGUAUGGGGACUGCCCGAUAGAGGGGGAUAACUACUGGAAACGGUGGCUAAUACCGCAUACUAUCGGAUAACCCAUAUGGGAUUAGCUAGUCGGUGGGGUAAAGGCUCACCUAGGCGACGAUCCCUAGCUGGUCUGAGAGGAUGAUCAGCCACACGGGGACUGAGACACGGCCCAGACUCCUACGGAGGCAGCAGUGGGGAAUAUUGCACAAUGGGCGAAAGCCUGAUGCAGCCAUGCCGCGUGUAUGAAGAAGGCCUUAGGGUUGUAAAGUACUGUCAGCGAGGAGGCGUUACUCGCAGAAGAAGCACCGGCUAACUACGUGCCAGCAGCCGCGGUAAUAC